rnacentral:rRNA from 1 species
UGGGGAAUAUUGGACAAUGGGCGCAAGCCUGAUCCAGCCAUGCCGCGUGAGUGAUGAAGGCCUUAGGGUUGUAAAAGCUCUUUUGUCCGGGAAGAUAAUGACUGUACCGGAAGAAUAAGCCCCGGCUAACUUCGUGCCAGCAGCCGCGGUAAUACGAAGGGGGCUAGCGUUGCUCGGAAUCACUGGGCGUAAAGGGCGCGUAGGCGGACUCUUAAGUCGGGGGUGAAAGCCCAGGGCUCAACCCUGGAAUUGCCUUCGAUACUGGGAGUNUUGAGUUCGGAAGAGGUUGGUGGAACUGCGAGUGUAGAGGUGAAAUUCGUAGAUAUUCGCAAGAACACCGGUGGCGAAGGCGGCCAACUGGUCCGAUACUGACGCUGAGGCGCGAAAGCGUGGGGAGCAAACAGGAUUAGAUACCCUGUAGUCCNCGCCGUAAACGAUGAAUGCCAGCCGUUGGGGAGCUUGCUCUUCAGUGGCGCAGCUAACGCUUUAAGCAUUCCGCCUGGGGAGUACGGUCGCAAGAUUAAAACUCAAAGAAUUGACGGGGUCAUAGCUGUUUCCU